AAGCAGGGGAUCGCAAGACCUUGCGCUUUUGGAGCGGCCGAUGCCUGAUUAGCUAGUUGGUAGGGUAAUGGCUUACCAAGGCGACGAUCAGUAGUUGGUCUGAGAGGACGACCAGCCACACUGGGACUGAGACACGGCCCAGACUCCUACGGGAGGCAGCAGUGGGGAAUUUUGGACAAUGGGCGAAAGCCUGAUCCAGCAAUGCCGCGUGAGUGAAGAAGGCCUUCGGGUUGUAAAGCUCUUUCAGUCGAGAAGAAAAGGUUGUGACUAAUAAUCACAACUCAUGACGGUAUCGACAGAAGAAGCACCGGCUAACUACGUGCCAGCAGCCGCGGUAAUACGUAGGGUGCGAGCGUUAAUCGGAAUUACUGGGCGUAAAGGGUGCGCAGGCGGCUCUGUAAGUCAGAUGUGAAAUCCCCGGGCUUAACCUGGGAAUUGCGUUUGAAACUACAAAGCUAGAGU
rnacentral:rRNA from 1 species